AUCUCCAUGAAAGCUGCAGGUUAUAUUUCCAUUUAGAAUCAUAGGAUGGUUUUGGUUGGAAGAGACCUUAAAAGGUCAUCUAGUUCCAACCCCCCUGCCAUGGGUCGGGACACCUCCCACUAGACCAGGUUGCUCAAAUUAAGCAUUGCAAUUUAAACAUUCGUACAGGACAAGGAACAAUCACAGCAAAUUAUUAUUGCCUUAACAUUAAAUUUUUUCUUUUUUUUUUCCAGAUGCUCAGUCUUUCUUGAAACAAAACACCAGAAACCUCAUCAGGCUGUUGUUUCAAAGCAGCUGUUAGCUUCAGGACCUCAGCUAACUUCUGCCUGCCGAGCCCACAGCUGGCCUUGGAUGCACUGGCUGCCUCUGGGAGUUCAACUUGUCCCUCUUCAGCCUAAGCAUCAAGGAGGAGCUGGUAAGAUUUAAUUUUUUUUUCUUUUGGUCCUGAUUGGAA
rnacentral:lncRNA from 1 species